rnacentral:rRNA from 1 species
CAUGCAGUCGAGCGGUAACAUUUCUAGCUUGCUAGAAGAUGACGAGCGGCGGACGGGUGAGUAAUACUUAGGAAUCUACCUAGUAGUGGGGGAUAGCACGGGGAAACUCGUAUUAAUACCGCAUACGACCUACGGGAGAAAGGGGGCAGUUUACUGCUCUCGCUAUUAGAUGAGCCUAAGUCGGAUUAGCUAGAUGGUGGGGUAAAGGCCUACCAUGGCGACGAUCUGUAGCUGGUCUGAGAGGAUGAUCAGCCACACCGGGACUGAGACACGGCCCGGACUCCUACGGGAGGCAGCAGUGGGGAAUAUUGGACAAUGGGGGAAACCCUGAUCCAGCCAUGCCGCGUGUGUGAAGAAGGCCUUUUGGUUGUAAAGCACUUUAAGCAGUGAAGAAGACUCCUCGGUUAAUACCCGUGGACGAUGACAUUAGCUGCAGAAUAAGCACCGGCUAACUCUGUGCCAGCAGCCGCGGUAAUACAGAGGGUGCAAGCGUUAAUCGGAAUUACUGGGCGUAAAGGGAGCGUAGGUGGCUCGAUAAGUCAGAUGUGAAAUCCCCGGGCUCAACCUGGGAACUGCAUCUGAUACUGUUGAGCUAGAGUAUGUGAGAGGAAGGUAGAAUUCCAGGUGUAGCGGUGAAAUGCGUAGAGAUCUGGAGGAAUACCGAUGGCGAAGGCAGCCUUCUGGCAUAAUACUGACACUGAGGCUCGAAAGCGUGGGUAGCAAACAGGAUUAGAUACCCUGGUAGUCCACGCCGUAAACGAUGUCUACUAGUCGUUGGGUCCCUUGAGGACUUAGUGACGCAGCUAACGCAAUAAGUAGACCGCCUGGGGAGUACGGCCGCAAGGUUAAAACUCAAAUGAAUUGACGGGGGCCCGCACAAGCGGUGGAGCAUGUGGUUUAAUUCGAUGCAACGCGAAGAACCUUACCUGGUCUUGACAUAUCUAGAAUCCUGCAGAGAUGCGGGAGUGCCUUCGGGAAUUAGAAUACAGGUGCUGCAUGGCUGUCGUCAGCUCGUGUCGUGAGAUGUUGGGUUAAGUCCCGCAACGAGCGCAACCCUUGUCCUUAGUUACCAGCGGGUUAAGCCGGGAACUCUAAGGAUACUGCCAGUGACAAACUGGAGGAAGGCGGGGACGACGUCAAGUCAUCAUGGCCCUUACGACCAGGGCUACACACGUGCUACAAUGGUAGGUACAGAGGGCAGCUACACAGCGAUGUGAUGCGAAUCUCAAAAAGCCUAUCGUAGUCCAGAUUGGAGUCUGCAACUCGACUCCAUGAAGUAGGAAUCGCUAGUAAUCGCGGAUCAGAAUGCCGCGGUGAAUACGUUCCCGGGCCUUGUACACACCGCCCGUCACACCAUGGGAGUUGAUUGCACCAGAAGUGGAUAGCUUAACCUCGGGAAGGC